rnacentral:rRNA from 1 species
AUGUAUGUGAGUUCUGGCCUCGUCGGUCGCAGAAAAAAAUGUUCUCAGCGUGGACUUGAAGAUGAACCUCAUUUGAUUGAGAAACAUGGUUCUGCAAAAUUUUGUCAAUGGCAUCUUAUUUAUUCCGGAGUAGAUGGUCAUGUCUUUAUUAUUCUCACGAUAAAUUCAUCACCCUUUGCAUGUCACGUGAUCUCCUUGCUACCUCUGAAUAUAUGCAUGCUGAACCAUGAUGUUGAACUUUUGUACAACUAUAUUGCUUUCCCUUGUAACUCCACACCAAGAAAUGUCUGCGGCGACGAUUGA